UACGUAGGGUGCAAGCGUUGUCCGGAAUUAUUGGGCGUAAAGAGCUCGUAGGCGGUUUGUCGCGUCGGCUGUGAAAACUCGGGGCUCAACCCCGAGCCUGCAGUCGAUACGGGCAAACUAGAGUGCUGUAGGGGAGACUGGAAUUCCGUGGUGUAGCGGUGAAAUGCGCAGAUAAUCAGGAGGAACACCGGUGGCGAAGGCGGGUCUCGUGGGCCUUACCUGACGCUGGAGGAGCGAAAGCGUGGGGAGCGAACAG
rnacentral:rRNA from 1 species